GUGGUAAUGCCGGAUGCUCCAUCACACCGCAUGGUGUGUUGGGAAAGCCUUUGCGGCAUGGGAUGGGGUCGCGUCCUAUCAGCUUGAUGGCGGGGUAACGGCCCACCAUGGCUUCGACGGGUAGCCGGCCUGAGAGGGCGACCGGCCACAUUGGGACUGAGAUACGGCCCAGACUCCUACGGGAGGCAGCAGUGGGGAAUAUUGCACAAUGGGCGCAAGCCUGAUGCAGCGACGCCGCGUGAGGGAUGGAGGCCUUCGGGUUGUAAACCUCUUUUGUUAGGGAGCAAGGCACUUUGUGUUGAGUGUACCUUUCGAAUAAGCACCGGCUAACUACGUGCCAGCAGCCGCGGUAAUACGUAGGGUGCAAGCGUUAUCCGGAAUUAUUGGGCGUAAAGGGCUCGUAGGCGGUUCGUCGCGUCCGGUGUGAAAGUCCAUCGCUUAACGGUGGAUCCGCGCCGGGUACGGGCGGGCUUGAGUGCGGUAGGGGAGACUGGAAUUCCCGGUGUAACGGUGGAAUGUGUAGAUAUCGGGAAAGAACACC
rnacentral:rRNA from 1 species